rnacentral:rRNA from 1 species
UACGUAGGGUGCAAGCGUUGUCCGGAAUUAUUGGGCGUAAAGAGCUCGUAGGCGGUCUGUCGCGUCGGCUGUGAAAACCCGGAGCUCAACUCCGGGCCUGCAGUCGAUACGGGCAAACUGGAGUGUUGCAGGGGAGACUGGAAUUCCUGGUGUAGCGGUGAAAUGCGCAGAUAUCGGGAGGAACACCAGUAGCGAAGGCGGCUCGCUGGGCCGUUCCUGACGCUGAGACGCGAAAGCUAGGGGAGCGAACAGG